GACGAACGCUGGCGGCGUGCUUAACACAUGCAAGUCGAACGGAAAGGCCCUUCGGGGUACUCGAGUGGCGAACGGGUGAGUAACACGUGGGUGAUCUGCCUCGUACUCUGGGAUAAGCCUGGGAAACUGGGUCUAAUACUGGAUAGGACCUUCUCUCGCAUGGGGGUUGGUGGAAAGUUUUUCGGUACGAGAUGGGCCCGCGGCCUAUCAGCUUGUUGGUGGGGUAAUGGCCUACCAAGGCGACGACGGGUAGCCGGCCUGAGAGGGCGGCCGGCCACACUGGGACUGAGACACGGCCCAGACUCCUACGGGAGGCAGCAGUGGGGAAUAGUGCACAAUGGGCGCAAGCCUGAUGCAGCGACGCCGCGUGAGGGAUGACGGCCUUCGGGUUGUAAACCUCUUUCACCAGGGGCGAAUUUAGACGGUACCUGGAGAAGAAGCACCGGCCAACUACGUGCCAGCCGCCGCCGUAA
rnacentral:rRNA from 1 species